CAGCAAGGUCCCUGACUCACCAUGUGUCACUUCCUUGUCACUGAUGAGGCAGGAGAAUGCUGUUAAGCCAGCUUUCACAUCUGUGGAGUCUGUGGAGUCUCUGAAAAGCCUUGAAGAGCUACUUCUAAGGGGUCAACAUUGGUCAGAACAGGGGAUGGCAGUCUGCUGGACACACGGGGCCACCUAAUUGCUUUCCCAUGUCUUGCUGGAGUGGUGCUGGCAGCCAGAGAGCUACCAGAACCUGAACUAAUUUGGUAAAUAAGGACCAAAACCAAGGACCGCAUUUCUGCUUCUUCGCUGAGACCCAGACUCCCCACAGAAUUCCAAAGAUUUUUCUUCCUUGGAAGUCACUGGACCUCCAGCCCUGAAUUCCGCUCCCCAGGAGAGCCUGUUCCCCUGCUCGGAACAAAUAACAUAUUUCCUGGUUAAUUGGAAGUCAGGAAGGCUUGAAGAAGGGUGAUUGGGCCCCCAGUCUUGCAGAGAGGUCAGUCAGCUCAUGGGCUCAGUGUCCUUCUACAGACACCGGGCAACUCGGACUCCUGCAUAGUACAUCUCAAGUUUGAAAGAUGGAGGAAGUCAGGAUGACCUGGUGUCUUCUUUUUGAUGACUUCUCCGCCCAUAGCGGGAUAUGAGAUCUGAGCUAUUACCCUUCCUAACUUCACAGAUGUGGACACUGAUGCUUGGAGACACUAGGCCACCAGGUCAGCUCAAACCGACUAGGGGUCAGACCUGCAGCUCCCUCUCCCCGUCUCCCUCCCUCCUUCCUCCUCUCUGUCUUUUCAGUGCUAGUGAUUAAACCUCUGUAUAUGCUCCAUAAGUAUUCUACUCCUGACCUUCGUCCCUACCCAUGGUAUCUGUUGCCGUAGAGUGUUGCUCAAACUUGAGUCCUCCUGCUUGAGCCUCUUGUCUGCCACUACACCGGACUUGUGACUGCUCUGGACUCCUAAAUGAAAGAGAUGGUGAAAACCAGUGACAGGUCUUGCUCUAGACUUCAUGUCUGUGAACAGAGAGAGAUGAGUGAGCUGCUCGGGUCCCAGUGGAAGAGCCCAGGCCUGUCUGAUGGUCAGAUUUUCCCCAGGAGAUAGCAUGUGCUUUUCUUCCUGCAGUUCAUCUUAUGGGCCUCAUCUGCUAGCCAAGAGAAAAGGAAAUCAAACCCCAUGUGUUUCCUCUUGUCCUUCUUUUCAAGUUACCUCUCGGCAUGUUGCAUUUUCACAUUCUAUUAACUGAGGUCCCAAUGCCUGAGAUGACAUGAGAGGAGCCUCUAAGCCAGGGCCUGGCACACAAUCAAUAGUCAAUGUGUUACCCUGCUCAUCACCUAGAGGCCCCUUUCUUCAACCAAUCAGCAAGUCCCCCUGGCUCUCUUGGUAUAUGCAGUAUACAGUAAGACAUUAAGUGGAGCUGAUAUAAGUAGUUACUGAUUAGGAAUAGUUACUGAAUUCAUGAGCUGUCUCUUCUAAUCCCGAUAGCAAUCCCAAGAUACAGAAAUUCUUUGUUCUCUCUUCCAUUUACCAAAGAUGAAACUGGACUCAGAAAAUACGAAAUAAGAACACAGCAAGGACGUGCAACUCCUCAGUCACAGGGUUAAGGUCUGAGCCCAAACAGUCAAUCCAAAGCCUGCACACCAUCUGCCCGGCCCUGCUGUCUGUGAGAAUCGACAAGAGACACUGAGGAUCAAAUGAGGGAGGGAGAUGGCAUUGCCGGGGGUGGUGGGGAGUAUUGUUGGAGGGAGCAUAGACUACUGUACCCUGGAAGGAGGACAAAAGAAAUAAAAGAGGGGCUGGAGAGAUGGCUCAGCAGUUAAGAGCACUUCUGCUCUUACAGAGGACCCAGGCUCAACUUCCAGCACCCACAUGGUGGCUUGCAACUGUCUAUAACUCUAGUGGCAGGGGAUCUUAUGCCUUUGUCUGACCUCCUUGUGUACCAGGAAGGCAUGGGAUAAAUAGAUAUGCAUACAAGUAAAACACUCAUAUACAUAUAAAAAAUUUAAGAGCAAAGGAAAAAAGAAAAAUGUUUUAGGGUAGAAAAAUGAUACUUGUAUCUACUGCAAUCCAACCAUGGAGCAUCAGAAGAUGUCCCCUCCCUAGACCAUGAGGGCUUGUUUCUCCUUUGAGGCAUGUCCUUGGUCAACUGGUCUACCCAGGAGAGCACUCAGUAUGUCAAGGGCCUAAGGGGGUGGGAGCUUCAUCAGAAUCAAUGUCAAACUGAACAGCAAAGGAAUCCCUGGGAGGCACUGGGCAGGGCUGGCCAGGGUCCAGCUGGCUCCAUAUGAACUACAAGACUGCCCUUAAUGAGGCUGUUUUUGGUACCCUAGCAGGAAUGGACACAGAGGGACCCAGGAGACUCAAGACUGUAUUAGUCCUCAGUAAUUAUAGGCAGCAACUUUGACCUCACAGAAGCCACAGUCACUGGUGGAUGGGACAGGAUGUCAUCCAAGGCUGGACAGAUGACAGCAGUGUUAGUCUUCCCUCCUCUACAUACACACACACACACACACACACACACACACACACACACACACAAAAUCAAAACAGAGACAGUUGAAAGCAUCCUUGGAGGUUCAGCCAACGUUGUGUAACUCCAUCAUGCCACCUCACUUACAUGAUCAAAAUGUGGCCAGCCAGACCCCCAGCUGCCCCCUUUGUCAACACAUGCAUCUUCCCACACUGCACUCUUUUGUGAGUAUAUGUGACAACCCACCCACGAAGUCUCAGUAAACAAGGAGAGGUGAUCAUCUGCAGGAAUCCUGAUGGCCUGUAUGGCUUCUUCCUGGGAUUAAAACCUACAGUGAUCUAUUUGCAAUCUUCUGCAUGUCCAAAUACAAUUGUGCCAGCACCAUUUGUUUGUUGAAGAUGCUAUCUUUUUUCCAUUGUAUAGAUUUAGCACCUUUGUCAAAAAUAAGGUGUUCGUAGGUGUGUGGGUUAAUAUCAGAGUUUUCAAUUCAAUUCCAUUGGUCUAUCUGUCUAUUUUUGUGCCAAUACCAAGCUAUUUUCAGAACUAUGGCUUGAAGUCAGGGAUGGUGAUGCCUCCAGAAGAUCCUUUAUUGUAAAGAGUUGUUUUGGUUAUCCUGGGUUUUUUAUUUUUCCAUAUAAAGUUGAGUAUUGUUCUUUCAAUGUUUGUGAAAAACUGUGUUGGGAUUUUGAUGGGGAUUGCAUUGAAUCUGUAGAUUGCUUUUGGCAGGAUUGCCAUUUUUACUAUGUUGAUUCUACCUCUCCAAGAGCAUGGGAGAUCUGAGCUGAAAUCUGGAAUUUAGUUGAGGGAGGGAGGAAUGAAGAUCGAAGGGGUCUGUACCAGGUUGGAGAAACCCACAGAAACAGUUGACCUGAACAAGGGAGAGCACAUCGACCCCAGAUACUGUCUGGGAGGCCAGUACAAGACUGAUCCAGACCCCUGAACAUGGAUGUCAAUAAGGAGGCCUCUGCACUCCAGGGAGCCUCUGGUAGUGGAUUAGUAUUUUUCCCUGGUGUAAGAAGGGACUUUGAGAGCCCAUCCCAUGUGAAGGGAUACCCUCUAGCCCAGCACAGGAAGAUUUGGUGGACUUUGCAGAGCCCCCGUUGAGGGCCCUACCCUGCCUGGGUAGAGUGGGGGGGGUGG
rnacentral:lncRNA from 1 species